AGGAAGUCAUUUAGCUACAACAUCUUCUGAUACAACAGUAAAAAUAUGGGAUUUUUCUAUUGAGAAACAUGUUUUAUCAUUUGAUGAACACAAAGAUGUUGUUUGGGGUUGCAGUUGGCAUUCUGCUGGAGAUUUUUUGGCCUCAUGCUCUAUGGAUGGAACAUCUAAGAUAUGGGAUGUGAACAGCGUGCGAUGCAGAAGCACUCUACGUGGUCACACUGAAUCAGUUAACAGUAUUCAGUUUUUACCUUUUUCAAAUAUAUUAUGUACAAGUUCUGUUGAUAAAACUAUUUCUUUAUGGGAUCUUCGAACGAAAUUGCGUGAAAGUACAUUUUACGGUCAUCUUUAUCCAAUAAAUUAUGCUACUUUUAAUAUACAGGGAGACAAAAUAGCAUCUUGUGAUGCAUAUGGUAUAAUGAAAUUGUGGGAUGUUCGCAGCAUGUCUGCUAUUGUAACAUGUGAUUUUGGUCCCCAUCCAAUGAAUAGAAUAGUUUUUGAUCCAGAUGCCUUGGUGAUUGCGACUGCUUCUAACGACGGUACUCUCAGAAUUUACACAAUAAACAACGGUGAAGUAAUGACAGUUUCAGGACACGACAGUGCAAGUCAGACAGUAAUAUUUAGUUUAAGUGGUGAAUAUUUGAUAUCAGGGGGUUCCGAUUUUAUGGUGAAAAUAUGGUCUUAGCGUUGUCGCAAAAUUGUGACUACAGAAUUGAAGUUUUGUGUGUCCUGUAUUCACAAGUGGUUAGUUACCCUGAAAAACUUUCGAACCUUUAAAAAAGC
rnacentral:misc_RNA from 1 species